rnacentral:sRNA from 1 species
AUAGUAGGAUAGAGGAACCAUGGGUAGACAUAUGGAAGAGUGGAUUAAUGGAUAGAAGGUAUAUGGAUCACUGUUUGGCUCCCUCGCCAUUUUCCCAGUACAGAGAACAGUAUCUAGCAAAAUCUUGUUGGCUUGGUGAAUGGAGUGUCAAUACUGUUGGAGUCUCCACUACACUGAGAAAUCCAUGGGCUCACUGCUGCCUGUCUGUUUAGGACUCUCCCUUCAAUACAUCCAGGCAACUAUUGCCUACGGUGUUUGUAUCUGUGUCUUAGAUCCUCUGAGUGUUCUGCAGCCCUGCUGACAGUGGCUCCCCUUGGGCAAACCUGUACACACUCAGCUUCUUCCCACAAUGCCAUCUGUACCUGACACUCAGUAGGCCGUCAUCUCACCACACAAGUUUUCCCUCUGGCAAGAAAGCUCAUGAACCAACACAAAGAGAAUACCAAAGAAGAAGCUUGAAUAAUUCAACAAAGAGCCAGUGGAGUCCAGGCGCCUCACACAGGCCCUGGCUGAAACUCAAAGGAAACCCAGAAAAUGGGAAUUCACGGAAAGUCUCUGCAUGAAGAUUAAAAUCGCCCUGUGAUAAAACAGCCUCAUGUAUCAGAGUCAGAGACUGGAGAAAAUAAGAAAAUCCCGCAAAGUAAAUUGAAAUUAGGUCAGGAGGACCAGGGAGAAAUCACAGUGAAAAUGCAGUCUAUAGAAGAAAAUCGAAAGAUAGCUGCGAAUUGAGUGUGGAAGGGAGCCAUAGUCCGUUCCGCAGGAAACACGAUGAAACUCCCCCAGCUCAACUCUGGGCCUCAUUCAUGCACAGAGGACGCCUUCAACAUGGCUCACAACAUGGAGACUCCCUGAAGCAUAGGAUUUGUGGCUAACAGUCUUCAGAUGGCUGGUCAGAUACUUUGCCCCCAGACACAUCUCUAUGAGGACCAGGCCUUUCCAGCCAACCAUAGCAAGACAAUUAAUUAUCACCCACUCUGCCUGUCUCUGGGCUCCCUGGCCUGAUGCCAUCUGAGCAGCAAUUCCUACCUGCCCUGGGCCCAGCAGAGGGGACCUUCACCCCUUUUCAUAGCCACUUCAUCAUGGGCCCCCCCAAAGAGUGACUUAUGAGGUGGGCGUAAACUGGAGCAUAUUAUUCUAUCUAAUGGAGUGCCUCUUUCUCUUCACCCCUAGAUCUGCCUUCAGCAGGAACCCUGUGGGCUUAGUGGCCCUGGCACCUCCUCUUGGCGACCCUAUACACCAAUCCUACAGCUCUGGUGGGAAUUCUCACUGCAUGAGCUAUGACUAGAGUCCAGCUCAGUCUUGAUUCUCCCUACAAGACCCCAUCAUGGCUCGCCCACUGAAGGCCCUGAAUAGAGGCUACCCUACUGUACUUCAGCACAGGCCAUUAAAAAGGCUACUGAAAGACUUGAUGGAAGCUACGGGAAGGUUCUGAGACAAGAUGGAUAUUGUCUGGCUACACUGUUGCAACUAGUAUCCAAGACGUGAAAAGCCAACAGUGUGGCCAGGGAGAGACGAGAAACAGAAGACAGCAGUAUGGUUUGGAUCCAAAAUGUCCCACAGACUAUGGUUUGGAUCCUUUUCCUCCUGGGUUUUUGGAGGUCAUAGAAACUUUCAUAGGUAGGGGAGGGCCUUCAAAGGUGAUUGGUACCUGCCCUGUUUGGCAUGGCUCUGUACUUUGCUUUCUGGCCUGUCGUCUUGAGAAGCCAAACACUUCCGCACCCUGUCACGUCAAUACCCCCACCCCCACUCCAACUCCCAGCUACUACAGGCAGAGCCUCUCUGCCUUCCUGGCUCAACCCAAGACCAAUAUCAUAAAACAAGACAAAUCCUUUCUCAAAUUGUUUUCUAGUCAGACACAGUCAAAGUAAGGUCAAAGGUGGAGUUCGGGAUGAAACCAUCAGAUGGUAGGGUAUGCGCAGAGGGUGGAUCCUGGUUCCAUAUCAUUCCAGAGUCCACCUCGAUCCCAGGAAGCCAGCUCCCCUUUCCCGUGGGGGUGGAUUCUGCCCUCCAGAGCUUUCUCUGUCCUGAGUUUUAAGUUCCUCAGCUGACUCAAGUGCCCACAGGACUGGCCCUGCCUCUUUCCUGGGCUCUGUAUUCUGCUUCUCUGUCCUCGUAGGGAAAGAUCUACACCAUGGUCAGCUCUGAGUCAGUACUUCCAAGGACUCCUCUCUACCUGGCAUACUCCCAACCUGAUCGUCCUCAUCCAGUUAUUAAGGGGUUUUUCUUCCCCUUGCUAUCCACGGAACAACUCAAUUCUCCCCACCUCGAGGAGCAGCCCCUGGCUUCUACUCACCACCGAGGCACCCUGUUUCAUUUUCACAUAAACAUCUGUCUCCCUGUCUGUGAGGAGACUGCACCACCCCCCGAAAGAAAGAAGCAACAUAAACCAGGGAUGUCGCUGGCAGCUUCUCGGCUUCCCCGGCUUCUGGAACAUGGCCCAGCCGAGACCAGGAAGCCGGUAGAGGAAGACUGCUGUGUUGGCUGUUUUCCUAAGAUUUAAACAGGUUCACGGCCCAAGAGCACGUUCGUCAUGUGAGGAUUCACCAGCACUGGCUAAAGCAUCCCUCUGCGGGACGGAACGGAGCUUCUCGGCCACAGCACAGCUGUCACUGACGGAUAAUACAGGAAAAAUCAAGGCCAGAUCCCUAAGCCACGUCUAAGAUGGGGGUGUCCAUGUACCACCAAUUCAUUUAACUCUACCUGCAUUGUUCUCCCUCGGGGCUUUCUGCAGCCCCUCCCCCACCCCAUCACUCCUUUCUCCUAGACUCUGACCUGUAGAGGCUUCUUCCUACAAAUGGUCUCUGGGAAAAGGUAACUAGCCAUCCCCUCCUUGUCUUGUAAAGCUGAGGUCACUGUUGCAAGGCUGACCUUAAAAGGCAGAGUUAUCCCAAGACACCCCUGUCCCCAAUUACUCUUCUUUACAUAUAUAGAAAGUGACACCUUCUCACAGCCCUGUGCUUGCCCGCACCUGGAUCUUUUAUACUGUCAAGCUUGGUGCCUCCCUCAUCCCCACAGGGCCACGGGAGAGCUAACCAGCUAUUUGUCUGAAAUCUUGACCAUGAACUCUGCAGCCGGCCCGCGGCUCAGUGCCCCCAGCAUGCAGUUCAGCAGAGCUGUCUGCAAGCUGCUCACCCUUCAUUCCUGCACAGAACCCUGUCAUGGCCGUGGAUGUGAGCCGUUCAAGAUCACAGGCUGGGUCCUGCUCUGACUGGCAGGCUGGACGUGAGCCACGGGCAAGUCAGCCUGUCUGGGUCACAGCCCACAUAGUCAAUCAUCCAGCCGCCAGGUGGUAGGCCGUGAUCCCACCACCUCUGUCUCUGAGUAGCAAGAUAUCAGACGAGGUUAGUUCCAGCCCAGUUAUUCAAGCUAGGCUCCAUGAGAAAGGUUCAUGGUUCAAGAGGGUCCUGCGGUUCUCCAUCCAAAAGUCCCAGCUUCCUGACAUCCAAGAUGCUGUGCACCAUCCCAGCAUGAGGCAUCCAGGAUGCUGAACACUGUACACAGUGUCUCAGGUAAGGGGAGGGCUGUGUGCAACCCCAGCAUCUCAUGUUAUUUUUAGUGUUGAGCAAAACUCCAGCACUCCAGGCGUCAGCAGUGAAGAGUGGUACCCCAGAAUCUCAGAUGUCUCUAAUGCUUAGUGCUGACCCAGCACCUGAGCAUCUAUGCAUUCAGUGAUGCUGAAGAAUCUCAGGUAUCUGUGAUGAUGUGUGGUGCCCUAGCAUCUCCAGCAUCUAUGGUGACACAUACCCUGUGGGACCCCCCCCCCUCAGUGUUUGCCCCCUGCUGAGCCUUGCUGAUGCAUGUGGAAGCUUUUGUUCUUAACAAAGGAACAUCUAGGACCUUUCUGUUUGGCACCUGGGCAGUGGCACCUGGGAGGUGGCACCUGGGAGCUAACACCUGGGUGGUAACACCAUUAAGUCAGUUCCUGUUUUUCCAUUCCUGUUUUUCUCCUGAGGGCAUGAACUUGUUUUUCCGCUGUGCUUCCUGGAAAUCUCCACCUGGUGAACUUGGGGUAUUU